rnacentral:rRNA from 1 species
GACGAACGCUGGCGGCGUGCUUAACACAUGCAAGUCGAGCGGUAAGGCCCUUUCGGGGGUACGACGAGCGGCGAACGGGUGAGUAACACGUGGGUGACCUGCCCUCCAGCUCUGGGAGUAAGCCUGGGAAACCGGGGUCUAAUACUGGAUAUGACUCCAUGACGCAUGUUGUGGGGUGGAAAGCCUUGUGCGGCUGAGGAUGGGCCCGCGGCCUAUCAGCUUGUUGGUGGGGUGGAUGGCCUACCAAGGCGACGACGGGUAGCCGGCCUGAGAGGGCGACCGGCCACACUGGGACUGAGACACGGCCCAGACUCCUACGGGAGGGCAGCAGUGGGGAAUCUUGCGCAAUGGGCGAAAGCCUGACGCAGCGACGCCGCGUGAGGGAUGACGGCC